rnacentral:rRNA from 1 species
UACGGAGGGGGCUAGCGUUGUUCGGAAUUACUGGGCGUAAAGCGCACGUAGGCGGCUUUGUAAGUUAGAGGUGAAAGCCCGGGGCUCAACUCCGGAAUUGCCUUUAAGACUGCAUCGCUCGAAUUGUGGAGAGGUAAGUGGAGUUCCGAGUGUAGAGGUGAAAUUCGUAGAUAUUCGGAAGAACACCAGUGGCGAAGGCGACUUACUGGACACAUAUUGACGCUGAGGUGCGAAAGCGUGGGGAGCAAACAGG